GGAUAUCUCGGGAAACUGAGGAUAUACCCCAUAGACCACUACGCCUGGAACGGUGAGUGGUUGAAAGCUCCGGCGGUGUAGGAUGGGUCUGCGGCGUAUCAGGUCGUAGGGGGUGUAAUGGACCUCCUAGCCAUCGACGCGUACGGGUUGUGGGAGCAAUAGCCCGGAGACGGAUUCUGAGACACGAAUCCGGACCCUACGGGGUGCAGCAGGCGCGAAAACUUCACACUGCAGGAAACUGUGAUGAGGGAACUCCAAGUGACUGCACAAUGUGUAGCCUUUUCUUGAAUCUUAAUAGUUCUUGGAAUAAGGGCUGGGAAAGACCGGUGCCAGCCGCCGCGGUAAUACCGGCAGCUCAAGUGGUCGUCGCUUUUAUUGGGCCUAAAACGUCCGUAGCCUGUUUGGUAAAUCUGUGGGUAAAUCAACGAGCUUAACUCGUUGAAUUCUGCAGAGACUGCCAGACUAGGGACCGGGAGAGGUAUGAGGUACUCUGGGGGUAGGGGUAAAAUCCUGUCAUCCUCAGAGGACCACCUGUUGCGAAGGCGUCAUACUGGAACGGAUCCGACGGUCAGGGACGAAGCCUA
rnacentral:rRNA from 1 species